rnacentral:rRNA from 1 species
CCUACGGGAGGCUGCAGUGAGGAAUAUUGGUCAAUGGGCUUACGCCUGAACCAGCCAAGUCGCGUGAGGGAAGACUGCCCUAUGGGUUGUAAACCUCUUUUGUCAGGGAGCAAUUGGCGCUACGUGUAGCGUUAUCGAGAGUACCUGAAGAAAAAGCAUCGGCUAACUCCGUGCCAGCAGCCGCGGUAAUACGGAGGAUGCGAGCGUUAUCCGGAUUUAUUGGGUUUAAAGGGUGCGUAGGCGGAAUGCCAAGUCAGCGGUAAAAUCGCGGGGCUCAACCUCGCUCCGCCGGUGAAACUGGCGUGCUUGAGUGGGCGAGAAGUAUGCGGAAUGCGUGGUGUAGCGGUGAAAUGCAUAGAUAUCACGCAGAACGCCGAUUGCGAAGGCAGCAUACCGGCGCCCAACUGACGCUGAAGCACGAAAGCGUGGGUAUCGAACAGGAUUAGAUACCCCGGUAGUC